AAUGAUUUAUUUCACUAUCACGCGCAAAUUUCAGUCAGCACCUACCUAUCUAAUAAACGCGCUAUUAAAAAAAAUAUUAAAACGACUUGUCGACUCUGGUAUACGUAUACCUAACAAAAACCAACUACUAAGUAAGUAUAAGCAAAUGUAAUAAUAUACCCACAAAUGGCCAUGAAGUGCUCGAAAUCUAAGACUACGAUCGACGUGUUUAACCUCAACAGAGGUUAAAAUACCAUUCAAUGAAUCGUUCGGCGUGGGAAUAAGCGUCAACACACGCGUACAUCGAUCAUUACUAUCAGGCCCCGUUUUAAGAACCAUUGACGCGCGGCAAGUCGGCGGGCGGUCGCGAGUCACGCGCUAGACGUUCGCUGCUCAGGUGUUGGGUUUGGGACUUGGCAGUAGUUGUCGUUGGGACUGUUGGGUCAUAGUCGUCACCCGUCACCGCAGAGACAUCGAUACUACGAGAGCGGAUCAUGUCUGGAGCUGAAUCGACCGAAAGUCAGCGCCCCAAGGUCGUAUACGUGUUCAGCGGCAAGCGGAAAUGCGGAAAAGAUUACAUCACGGACGCGAUCCACGAAAGGUGUUGACAAUGCAGCAUCAGAAUGUGAUUUGGAUGACUAUUUAGAAUGGGAUUGGAUUGUUGAAAAUAACAAAUUUAAUGAUUGCAAUGAAUUUAUAAAUAAAAUUGUGAAUCAUGCACUAUCAGUUCAAUGAUAUUUAUUAUAUUAUGUACCUACAAAUAUUGUA